UACGGAGGGGGCUAGCGUUGUUCGGAAUUACUGGGCGUAAAGCGCGCGUAGGCGGACCUGCAAGUCGGGGGUGAAAGCCCGAGGCUCAACCCCGGAACUGCCUUCGAUACUGCGGGUCUCGAGUCCGGGAGAGGUGAGUGGAAUUCCUAGUGUAGAGGUGAAAUUCGUAGAUAUUAGGAAGAACACCAGUGGCGAAGGCGGCUCACUGGCCCGGUACUGACGCUGAGGCGCGAAAGCGUGGGGAGCAAACAGG
rnacentral:rRNA from 1 species